UUGUUGUGUACAUUUUUCUAUGUAGGAGGAACUUACAGGUUUUUCUAGAUAAAUAUUUUAUUGAUUGAAAAACUGAGGUCCAGAGAGAUAAAGUGACUUAUUCAAAACACAUAACUAUAUUGGGACUAGGAUUCAGUGCAUUUUCUUACCUUUAUCUGUAAAAUAGAAGAUCCUGUUUUUAACAUUGUCAAAAGUUGCUCUGUUCAUUAUAGUAGGUGGUAGGUGUAUGUGACUAUUUGAAUUGGUUCAAAUUCAAUAAAAAUUAAAAAUUCAGUUUUUCAUUUGCACUGGUUAUAUUUCAAAUGCUCAGUAGCCAUGUGUGGCUGGUGGUUACUAUAUUGCACAACACAGACGUAGAACAUUUCCAUUAUUACAGAAAGUUCUUUUGAAUAGUGCUGGUCUAAAGCAUAAUUUAUUUUUCAUAAAGAAACUUUCAUAAAGAUUUAGUAAGAUUUUAAAAAAGACCUAUAGAAGGUAGACAGAGGUUGUCAGAACACAAAAUAACCUUAGUUUCUUUGUUCUUGUUGGAAUAUAUUACAACAGACAGUGAAAAAUCUGUGUCAUGGUUUAUUUUAUUCUCAAACUGAAUAUUUGAAUUUCAAGGAUGAAGAAGAUGAUGAUGACUAUGUUGAAGAAGGGGAAGAAGAAGAAGAAGAGGAAGAAGAAAGUCUUCGAGGGGAGAAGAGGAAACGAGAUGCUGAAGAUGAUGGAGAGGAAGAAGAUGACUAGAUCAUUCUAGGACCAGAUUCCCUAAUAUUCAUGGGUGUGCAAUAGAGUGAUCACAUCUUUGUUUCUUCAUGUACAAUAGCUGUCUCUACAGAAGAUAAUGUGUAACUUUUUAUAGGAAAAGUGUGGUUUUACUAUUUUUGCCUUAUCAUUCCAAAUAAGAUUUACUAGUCUGUUAAUGAUCAUAUUGUAUGUAGAGAAAAAUUUUCUUGGUCCCCGAUUUGAAAUUCCUUAGCGAUUUAUUUAGAAUGUUAAUUUUUCUAAUUCAAGCUCAUUAUAUUAGUCAUUUUUACCCCAUAAUUAAAACAUGAUCAGUUUUACACAGGUGUAGUAUGGUGCAUUUCACUCAUAAGGUUUUAAAGUUAUUUAUAAAUUAACUGAAAUUACAGUAAGCUGUAAUAUGAAAUGACAAUAGUCUCUUGAAUGAUGGGUUGGUUAUUUUUUUAGAGGUGAUCCAGAGAUCAUUAGUUUGAAGGCAGUGGCUUUUUUUUUAGUAAGAGUAUUUGAGUGCUUUUUUGGUCCCAUAAGUAACUUGGAAAGUAGAAGCAGAAUAAUAAAGGUUCUGUUCAGCAAUAUAUUAAUAGUUCAUGGAUUUUGAGGAGGUGCCAUUCAGUAAUGCAGUUCAUGGAUUUUGUGGUGACCUAUAAGAUUUUCUUUUUGAAGGACAAAUUGCUUAUACUAAGUCCAGAGAUAUGCAGGUGAGCCCUUUCAUCAGGCUGCAGAUCAUGACACGCCAGUGGUUGUUUAUUUUGUUUUGGUUUUAGGUGUGCAUUCUUUUUCUCAGCAAUUCUUUUAUAAUCACCUUUCCCUUCUUGUUUCACUCCCUUCUAUCUCAGAAGAAAGUUGGGAAGUUUGUAGAUACCUAGGAAAACUUUUAGUCUUAUACCUCAACCACCUUUUCAGAUCUGUCUUGAGUUUUAAAUAAGUGAAAUGAAAGUAAUUGAGUAUUUUCUUAGCUACAAAUAUUAUUGAUACAGUUUUAUGCAACAAGCUCUGCUUAGUGUAAAUCUUUCUUAGUCGAACAUCUAAGACUAUUAGUAGGAAGAAAAAAGAAAAGCAGAGGCUUUUGGAAGCAGCAUUAAUGUUCCUCAAAAGUCAGAACAAUUGCCUGUUGAUAAUAAGAUAUUCAAGUCAAAUUUUUAAGUUGGCUUCUCAGAUGAUUUGGAUAUCACUGUGCAAAGUAUUUCUAAUUUUCCCAAGUAGAACCUUUAACAGUUUUAAAGCAUUACCAGCUAUAGCAUUAUUUGGAAUAUACUAGGCAGUAGGAAAAAUAUUUGAAACUAAAUUGGUAUUAAAAUUAAGAUUUGUUUUCAAGUGGAUGUUCAUUUAAAAUAGAAAAAAUAUUUGGCAUAAGUGUGUGUGUUUCUUUAUAUGGCUACUAAAUAAAAUAUAAUGAGUAGACCAGUGCAUCUCCAUUUUUGUCAUGGAGGCUCCAUGUUCAAGGCAAAUGCUUUUUUAGUCUUGGCUAUGUAAAAUUUUUUACUUUGUUUUGAAUAUUUGUAAAUUUUUAAAAAGUGUCAGCAAAUUAACUGAAAUUAUGCUUCUAUACUGGGACACAUUUAAAUUACUGAGUAUAGUACUGCUGCUGCUUCCUUUUUAGUUUAAAAUGUAUGACUUGGCAUUUUAAAUUAAAAAUUAUGAAGUUAUUUGUGGAGAAACUAAAAAAGUUGUACAAGUGACUGAAAUAAAACACUUAGGACAAGUUUAGUAGUAGGGGGAUUGGAAUCUCCAAAAGACUCACAUUUUUCUUCCAAUUUAAAACAUUGAAAUGCCCUGUUCUAGUCCCUAAGAAUUCUCAUUGCAUACAUACUAUACCAGAUUAUAAAAUACUUAUUUUUAAAAUGAAAUCUAUAUAUUAACUUUCUUAUCAAUCAUCUUAUUGUGCAAUCAAAAUUAGAGUUCUUUGGUUUGAAAACAACACUUACAGCCUCCUGAUAACUUUUAAGACUUACUUAGCUUUGUGGGUGGUAUUUUCAUGCAAAUAAGUAAGGGUGGGUUUUUUAUUUUGUAGAAGUUUUUGGUCCUAUUUUAAUGCUCUUUAUAUGGCAGUAUGUAUAUAGUGUGUUAAGUUCCUUAAGAAUCUCUCCUUAAAAACUUUGAAGUUAAUACUUUUGUGCAACUGUGUUUUGAAUAAAGCCAUGACAGUGUUAAAAACAAACAAAAAAAUGCAGUACUCUUGAUUAUUCUUUUAUUGUUUCUGUUUUUUCUGUGACUGCUGUAACUUAAAAGUUUUUGAAACUGAGUUGCUUCAAAUAAACUGAAGAUUUGUUAUAA